rnacentral:rRNA from 1 species
AACGUAGGAGACGAACGUUAUCCGGAGUUACUGGGCGUAAAAGCGCGCGUAGGCGGCUCUUCAAGUCAGGCGUGAAAGCCCCGAGCUUAACUCGGGAACUGCGCUUGAUACUGUCGAGCUAGAGUGUGGAAGGGGCGAUUGGAAUUCCGUGUGUAGCGGUGAAAUGCGUAGAUAUAACGGAGGAACACCAGAGGCGAAGGCGGAUCGCUGGGCCAACACUGACGUGAUGUGCGAAACUAGGGGAGCAA